CCAUCUUGCCUUACCUCCAGCCAUUUCCAUUUCAAUAUCACUCUUAAUGGUAUUAAAAUUGGUUUGAAUGAUUUCACUCUCAGGAUCUAGUUCAGCAGUUUGACACAUGAUUCGAAGAGCCUCUUCAUCUCUUCCCUUAUAGAUGAGGUAACGCGGUGAUUCAGGUAAAAACAGUACACCCACCAUCAAAAAGAUACCCCAAAGUAUGUUAAUGCCAAAGGAAGUUCUCCAGGACGCUGUUUUACGAAGUUUAUGAGUUCCCAUAUUGAUACAAGCAGCGAUUAAAGUACCGCAAGUUUGAAAUAGUUGAUAGGUCGAAACAACUGCACCACGAAUUUGCGGAGGAGCAACUUCAGAUUGGUAUCCAGGACUCAACACCGACAAAGCACCAAUAGUUAAACCUGUAAAUAACUUACCAACCAUAAUCUGAACCCAAGAAGGAACAGCAGUUACCAAAAGAAUUUGACCAAUAAUGUAACAACCGCUAAAGAAGGCAAUGGAGUAUUUUUUGCCAAUGGCUUCAGUAAAUGGAGAGGAAAGCAUAGCACCAAAUAAGCAACCAGCGUUAACGGUUCCUGUCAACAGUGCUUGUCGCCAGGCUGAGUAACUAUAAGAGUUCGUGAUAGGAUUAUACCGGUCAGCAAAACGAGAUUGAAAAUCACGCAUUCCCAAGAUACCACUAAUGGAACCGGUAUCAGCACCUCCUAGCCAUCCGGCCAUAGAAAUGAAGACCACGAGGACAGAUGUAAGUGUUCUUCCCAUAAUAGAAUAGAAAAAUAAUUAACAAAUUUUGCAGAUGAUAUAAAUUUUUAAGGGUGUAUCGACAAAAAAAGGAGCAAAUUAAGAUACAAAUGUUUGGCAAGGAAACGCAGAUUUAUAAGAAGGAAAACUUGCCUGAAAAAUAAGGUAUGCUUAGUACAAGAAACAAAAAGAUUUUAAAAGAAUUCGUGAUUGC